rnacentral:rRNA from 1 species
UACAGAGGGGGCAAGCGUUGUUCGGAAUUACUGGGCGUAAAGCGUGCGCAGGCGGUGAUGUAAGACAGGUGUGAAAUCCCCGGGCUUAACCUGGGAACUGCAUUUGUGACUGCGUUGCUGGAGUGCGGCAGAGGGGGAUGGAAUUCCGCGUGUAGCAGUGAAAUGCGUAGAUAUGCGGAGGAACACCGAUGGCGAAGGCAGUCCCCUGGGCCUGUACUGACGCUCAUGCACGAAAGCGUGGGGAGCAAACAGG